UUUUUUUUUUUUUUUUUUUUUUUUUUGGUUCUUUUUUUCGGAGCUGGGGACCGAACCCAGGGCCUUGCGCUUCCUAGGUAAGCGCUCUACCACUGAGCUAAAUCCCCAGCCCCCAGAAACUCCCUUUUUGAGGAAGGUCUGGUAGUCUACUUGUGCAAGUGUUGAUUACCCUCUUUCUUUUAGCAGAAUUUUGCUUCAGUCUUACUGUGGAUUAAUUUAUCUUGUGCAGUGACAGUGGAGUGCCAUCUUAACUGGAGACUUGGCUGCAGCAAGUGGGAGACAGACCUUCUUAGAUGGUGGCCGCACUGGCCAUUGAACCUGUUUCUGAAUCAAGUAUCAAGACCUUGUGGUCUGCUAGUAUCUGUCCACCGAGCAGCAUUCUCCUGGGACAGCUCCCUUACAUCUGUGCUAUAGACUUGUUUUGGCUCUCCUCACCUUUUCUGGGGUAGUGUAGUGGGGAGAAUCUGGAAGGGGGCUUUAGUUCCCUUCUGCCUCUGGUUGGUGUUUGGAUAACAGCUUUGGACAACUCCUCUCACUCAAGAGCCUUUCUCUAGUGUUUUCUGAUGAAAUGUCAGACUGAGCACACAUUUGAGACCUCAUCCAUGGUCCUUCAAGGCCUUUUGAUCGUGAGUCCUUAAACAUUGCUUUCUUGGUAGGUAUGCACAUUUUGGGGAAUGGUGCUACAGACAAGUCGUUUGCAGUUUGCUGGUAGGAUCUCUAGUCCCAAGCAUCGUAAUGGUGACUCAGUGGUGGACAGCACUGUAGAGUCCUGCAUCAGCCUAGGUGUGGAGAAGGCCAGAGGGCACUGCCUGCAGAGGUGUUCUGCAGUGUGUGCCGGAUGCCCUGGCCUCAGGUUGGAGAGGUGGAGUGCUGGCUGGCUUUGAGGCUGAUUAAGCCAAGACUUGACACAAGACAGAUG
rnacentral:lncRNA from 1 species